GGAUGAGCCCGCGGCCUAUCAGCUUGUUGGUGGGGUGAUGGCCUACCAAGGCGACGACGGGUAGCCGGCCUGAGAGGGCGACCGGCCACACUGGGACUGAGACACGGCCCAGACUCCUACGGGAGGCAGCAGUGGGGAAUAUUGCACAAUGGGCGAAAGCCUGAUGCAGCGACGCCGCGUGAGGGAUGACGGCCUUCGGGUUGUAAACCUCUUUCAGCAGGGAAGAAGCGAAAGUGACGGUACCUGCAGAAGAAGCGCCGGCUAACUACGUGCCAGCAGCCGCGGUAAUACGUAGGGCGCAAGCGUUGUCCGGAAUUAUUGGGCGUAAAGAGCUCGUAGGCGGCUUGUCGCGUCGGAUGUGAAAGCCCGGGGCUUAACCCCGGGUCUGCAUUCGAUACGGGCAGGCUAGAGUGUGGUAGGGGAGAUCGGAAUUCCUGGUGUAGCGGUGAAAUGCGCAGAUAUCAGGAGGAACACCGGUGGCGAAGGCGGAUCUCUGGGCCAUUACUGACGCUGAGGAGCGAAAGCGUGGGGAGCGAACAGGAUUAGAUACCCUGGUAGUCCACGCCGUAAACGUUGGGAACUAGGUGUUGGCGACAUUCCACGUCGUCGGUGCCGCAGCUAACGCAUUAAGUUCCCCGC
rnacentral:rRNA from 1 species